GAUGAACGCUGGCGGCGUGCCUAAUACAUGCAAGUCGAGCGAACGGACGAGAAGCUUGCUUCUCUGAUGUUAGCGGCGGACGGGUGAGUAACACGUGGAUAACCUACCUAUAAGACUGGGAUAACUUCGGGAAACCGGAGCUAAUACCGGAUAAUAUUUUGAACCGCAUGGUUCAAAAGUGAAAGACGGUCUUGCUGUCGCUUAUAGAUGGAUCCGCGCUGCAUUAGCUAGUUGGUAAGGUAACGGCUUACCAAGGCAACGAUGCAUAGCCGACCUGAGAGGGUGAUCGGCCGCACUGGAACUGAGACACGGUCCAGACUCCUACGGGAGGCAGCAGUAGGGAAUCUUCCGCAAUGGGCGAAAGCCUGACGGAGCAACGCCGCGUGAGUGAUGAAGGUCUUCGGAUCGUAAAACUCUGUUAUUAGGGAAGAACAUAUGUGUAAGUAACUGUGCACAUCUUGACGGUACCUAAUCAGAAAGCCACGGCUAACUACGUG
rnacentral:rRNA from 1 species